ensembl:lncRNA
UUGGCAACAUGUCAACUAUAUUUAGUCUCUAUGUUUAUUGAAAACAAAUACAUUUGCACAAUGAGCACUUGUCUCAAAUAUAUUGUUACAGUUGCUGGUUAGCUAGUGAGUUUUAGCCAUAUUAGCAUAGGCAUGACAUCAGUCCAAACAAAACAUGGUAUCAAUAACAAGAUGAGCUGAAACUAACCACCUAUGAUUCCUCAAAAGGCAGGUUCUUGUCAUUGUUGCUAGCUAUCUGACCGUUCAGUUCACAAUCAUAAACGCACACCUUUCGGCCUCGUCAAAUGCACCGUGCAUCAUUUGUGAUGUUGUCAGCCAACCCGUCUAUAGUGUUUGAAAGGGAAGGAAACCCUACUGCAUGAGCACAACCAUUGAGUGGCUAAAAGACUACUUAUUACUCGUUAAAAAAAAAUGUUUAAAAGCCAAUGAAACAUGCUUUUAGUGUCAAUACAACUGGAAAGACGGUGCCUGGUCUUCAAUCGCUCAUGAAGGGAAUUAUUCAGAAAGCAGUUUCAUCAAAUCAUGGUUGGAUCAUCAUCAAGGAUGAUGCAAUUGUGUCUCUGUGAGAGGCUGUUUUAGAACAAACAUCUGUCUCUGUUGAGAGGCUGUUCUAGAACAGAAAUCUGUCUGUGAGGCUGCUCUAGAAAAAAAAAAUCAUGCCUCUGAGAGACCGUUCCACAAAAAUCUGUCUCUGUGAGAGGCUGCUCUAGAACAAACAUCCGUCUCUGUGCGAGGCUUUUCCACAACAAAAAUCUGUGUCUCGGUGAGAGGUUGCUCUAGAGCAAACAACUCUUUGAAAGGCUGUUCUAGAACAAACUGUCUCUGUGGGAGGCUGUUCUAGAACAAACUGUCUCUGUGGGAGGCUGUUCUAAAACAAACUGUCUCUGUGGGAGGCUGUUCUAAAACAAACUGUCUCUGUGGGAGGCUGUUCUAAAACAAACUGUCUCUGUGGGAGGCUGUUCUAAAACAAACUGUCUCUGUGGGAGGCUGUUCUAGAACAAACUGUCUCUGUGGGAGGCUGUUCUAGAACAAACUGUCUCUGUGGGAGGCUGUUCUAGAACAAACUGUCUCU